CAGGGGUUACCUAGUGGUAGGUAGUAUAGUGCUGAACUUCUACGUGUCUCAUUGUGAAAAAUACAAUACGAGGGUGCUUUACCUACCCUGGGGGUACGACAUCGCUAUGUGGGCUUCUUCUUUAUUAUUCCUAGUUGCUGGUAUCAAAGGGCCUAAGUAUUUUAAGAUGUUUGUGUUCGGUAAUGUGACCUUUGCCCAAGCCCUAGAGGUCGCAAUACACGCUACUGGCCUCUUCACUACUUUACCCGUAUCUAUAUACAACGUUUAUUUGUCAUAUAAAAAUGGUACCGGCAAGAACCUAUCUAUACUAAACGCGGUGCGUCCUCUAUGGUCGAUG